AUUGAACGCUGGCGGCAGGCCUAACACAUGCAAGUCGAACGAGUGGCGGACGGGUGAGUAAUGUCUGGGAAACUGCCUGAUGGAGGGGGAUAACUACUGGAAACGGUAGCUAAUACCGCAUACCAUCAGAUGUGCCCAGAUGGGAUUAGCUAGUAGGUGGGGUAAUGGCUCACCUAGGCGACGAUCCCUAGCUGGUCUGAGAGGAUGACCAGCCACACGGGACCGAGGACAGGUGCCAGACUCUGCGGGGGGGAAGCAGUGGGGAAUAUGGCACAAUGGGCGCAAGCCGGAUGCAGCCAGGCCGGGGGUGGGAAGAAGGCCUUCGGGUUGUAAAGCACUUUCGGCGAGGAGGCGUUACUCGCAGAAGAAGCACCGGCUAACCCCGUGCCACCAGCCGCGGUAAUC
rnacentral:rRNA from 1 species